GUUAUAUGGUCAAGUGAAGAAGCGCAUACGGUGGAUGCCUUGGCAGUCAGAGGCGAUGAAAGACGUGGUAGCCUGCGAAAAGCUUCGGGGAGUCGGCAAACAGACUGUGAUCCGGAGAUGUCUGAAUGGGGGAACCCAGCCAUCACAAGAUGGUUAUCUUACGCUGAAUACAUAGGUGUAAGAGGCGAACCAGGGGAACUGAAACAUCUAAGUACCCUGAGGAAAAGAAAUCAACCGAGAUUCCCUUAGUAGUGGCGAGCGAACGGGGACCAGCCCUUAAGUUGUAUUGAGAUUAGCGGAACGCUCUGGAAAGUGCGGCCAUAGUGGGUGAUAGCCCUGUACGCGAAAAUCCCUUUGCAAUGAAAUCGAGUAGGACGGGGCACGAGAAACCUUGUCUGAAUAUGGGGGGACCAUCCUCCAAGGCUAAAUACUACUGACUGACCGAUAGUGAACCAGUACCGUGAGGGAAAGGCGAAAAGAACCGCGGAGAGCGGAGUGAAAUAGAUCCUGAAACCGUAUGCGUACAAGCAGUGGGAGCCCACUUUGUUGGGUGACUGCGUACCUUUUGUAUAAUGGGUCAGCGACUUAUUUUCAGUGGCGAGCUUAACCGAAUAGGGGAGGCGUAGCGAAAGCGAGUCUUAAUAGGGCGUCUAGUCGCUGGGAAUAGACCCGAAACCGGGCGAUCUAUCCAUGGGCAGGUUGAAGGUUGGGUAACACUAACUGGAGGACCGAACCGACUACCGUUGAAAAGUUAGCGGAUGACCUGUGGAUCGGAGUGAAAGGCUAAUCAAGCUCGGAGAUAGCUGGUUCUCCUCGAAAGCUAUUUAGGUAGCGCCUCAUGUAUCACUGUAGGGGGUAGAGCACUGUUUCGGCUAGGGGGUCAUCCCGACUUACCAAACCGAUGCAAACUCCGAAUACCUACAAGUGCCGAGCAUGGGAGACACACGGCGGGUGCUAACGUCCGUCGUGAAAAGGGAAACAACCCAGACCGUCAGCUAAGGUCCCAAAGUCAUGGUUAAGUGGGAAACGAUGUGGGAAGGCUUAGACAGCUAGGAGGUUGGCUUAGAAGCAGCCACCCUUUAAAGAAAGCGUAAUAGCUCACUAGUCGAGUCGGCCUGCGCGGAAGAUGUAACGGGGCUCAAACCAUGCACCGAAGCUACGGGUAUCACCUUUGGUGAUGCGGUAGAGGAGCGUUCUGUAAGCCUGUGAAGGUGAGUUGAGAAGCUUGCUGGAGGUAUCAGAAGUGCGAAUGCUGACAUGAGUAACGACAAUGGGUGUGAAAAACACCCACGCCGAAAGACCAAGGUUUCCUGCGCAACGUUAAUCGACGCAGGGUUAGUCGGUCCCUAAGGCGAGGCUGAAAAGCGUAGUCGAUGGAAAACAGGUUAAUAUUCCUGUACUUCUGGUUAUUGCGAUGGAGGGACGGAGAAGGCUAGGCCAGCCUGGCGUUGGUAGUCCAGGUUUAAGGUGGUAGGCUGAGAUCUUAGGUAAAUCCGGGAUCUUAAGGCCGAGAGCUGAUGACGAGUGUUCUUUUAGAACAUGAAGUGGUUGAUGCCAUGCUUCCAAGAAAAGCUUCUAAGCUUCAGGUAACCAGGAACCGUACCCCAAACCGACACAGGUGGUUGGGUAGAGAAUACCAAGGCGCUUGAGAGAACUCGGGUGAAGGAACUAGGCAAAAUGGCACCGUAACUUCGGGAGAAGGUGCGCCGGUGAGGGUGAAGCAUUUACUGCGUAAGCCCACGCCGGUCGAAGAUACCAGGCCGCUGCGACUGUUUAUUAAAAACACAGCACUCUGCAAACACGAAAGUGGACGUAUAGGGUGUGACGCCUGCCCGGUGCCGGAAGGUUAAUUGAUGGGGUUAGCGCAAGCGAAGCUCUUGAUCGAAGCCCCGGUAAACGGCGGCCGUAACUAUAACGGUCCUAAGGUAGCGAAAUUCCUUGUCGGGUAAGUUCCGACCUGCACGAAUGGCGUAACGAUGGCGGCGCUGUCUCCACCCGAGACUCAGUGAAAUUGAAAUCGCUGUGAAGAUGCAGUGUAUCCGCGGCUAGACGGAAAGACCCCGUGAACCUUUACUAUAGCUUUGCACUGGACUUUGAAUUUGCUUGUGUAGGAUAGGUGGGAGGCUUUGAAGCGUGGACGCCAGUCUGCGUGGAGCCAACCUUGAAAUACCACCCUGGCAACUUUGAGGUUCUAACUCAGGUCCGUUAUCCGGAUCGAGGACAGUGUAUGGUGGGUAGUUUGACUGGGGCGGUCUCCUCCUAAAGAGUAACGGAGGAGUACGAAGGUGCGCUCAGACCGGUCGGAAAUCGGUCGUAGAGUAUAAAGGCAAAAGCGCGCUUGACUGCGAGACAGACACGUCGAGCAGGUACGAAAGUAGGUCUUAGUGAUCCGGUGGUUCUGUAUGGAAGGGCCAUCGCUCAACGGAUAAAAGGUACUCCGGGGAUAACAGGCUGAUACCGCCCAAGAGUUCAUAUCGACGGCGGUGUUUGGCACCUCGAUGUCGGCUCAUCACAUCCUGGGCUGAAGCCGGUCCCAAGGGUAUGGCUGUUCGCCAUUUAAAGUGGUACGCGAGCUGGGUUUAGAACGUCGUGAGACAGUUCGGUCCCUAUCUGCCGUGGACGUUUGAGAUUUGAGAGGGGCUGCUCCUAGUACGAGAGGACCGGAGUGGACGAACCUCUGGUGUUCCGGUUGUCACGCCAGUGGCAUUGCCGGGUAGCUAUGUUCGGAAAAGAUAACCGCUGAAAGCAUCUAAGCGGGAAACUUGCCUCAAGAUGAGAUCUCACUGGAACCUAGAGUUCCCUGAAGGGCCGUCGAAGACUACGACGUUGAUAGGUUGGGUGUGUAAGCGCUGUGAGGCGUUGAGCUAACCAAUACUAAUUGCCCGUGAGGCUUGACCAUAUAACACCCAAGCAAUU
rnacentral:rRNA from 1 species